CUCAGAAGUAGAUUUUGCCAUGCUUAUAAAUAGAGGGUGUAAUUAGGCAGCUCCUUACUUGUUACUUGUAGCUAUGGAUGUUCUACAACCAAAUCACACAUGAUUUUAAUGUUUCCUAUGCAGUUCAGAUGACAUGAUGAUUCUGUUUUUGGGGAUGUUUGUGCAAUCUUCAAACACUGGAAGGAUGAUGCUGGUCAUGAACUCAAUAAAGACAGUAGGCAAGUCCAGAGGGAAGGAUUGAACUACAGUCCUAGAGUUCUUCAACAAAGAAGGUUAGCCAACCAUGAAGGUUACUACAAUCAUGCAGUUUAUCUUGGGGCUCAUUGUUUGCAGUGAGAUAGACUGACUGCCACUGCUUCAAUUCAAGAAUGCAAUCAUCCUCAAUUCAAAGCAAUCCUAGAUGUCGCGGAAUGAGAGCACCUACUUUUGCAGUUGGGAAGGUGUUCAUUGCAAGAUGAAGAAUCCACAACGUGCCACUUCUCUCAACCUUACAAACCGAGGUUCAUAGUUGAUCCAGUGGUAUCAUCACCUGAUGACUCAUAUUCAACCUCUUUGAUUGCAAUUAAUGGAACUAUUGGAUAUGUUGCUCCAGUGAUGUCUAGCUUUGGAAUUGUUCUACUUGAAAUAUUCUUAGGAAGAGGCCUACAGAUGAUAUGUUCAAAGAUGGAAUAAAUAUCGUAAAAUUCGUUGAGAUGAAUUUUCCUGCCAAGAUAUCACAAAUUGUUAAACCUGAAUUAAUUCAAGAUCAGCCACAAAGAAGAUGACCUGGACUAUUUAAUUUCUGUGCUCAACAUUGGGCUUCGCUGCACCAAGCAGGCCCCUGGUGAGCGGCCCAAUAUGCAAGUGAGCAAUCAGCUGUUAACAGUGGACAUACAAGUAUGAAAAAGACCAAAUUGAAAACUUCUUGUUUAUCAGAGAUUUAGAUUGGUGGUCUCUUCAAGCGUGCAUCUGAGAUUGUGUAAAUUGAUUUGACAUAAACAACCUGUUUUCUCAGAUAUUACUGUAGAACUGGAAGAUAUCUUACGGUCUAUUCAUGCCUCCAGUUCUAGAGGAGCCCAUCGACGUACCAAACCAAAGAUACAAAUGAAAUCACAACGAU